UCAACCUACCCAAUUCAGUCAGUCUGUUUC
rnacentral:piRNA from 1 species